UUGGCGUCUGGACCGGACUUCAAGAUCUAGACAUUUGUCGGUCAUUCUGGCCUGUUGUCCAGAAACACGGUCUAGAUCUUCCUUCAGUCUUUGCGUUGUGUCAGAGAUGUCCGUAGUAGUAGCUUUGAGUUCUCUGAUAGCGUUGUUUUGUUUUUUUGAAGUGAGGAGAAUGGGCUCCAACUUUUUGCUAAGAUCUUCUUCGACCCGUUUAAUUUCUCCUUUCAAAACGGUGCAAAUUUCUUUAAUC